rnacentral:rRNA from 14 species
UCGGAGAGUUUGAUCCUGGCUCAGAAUGAACGCUGGCGGCGUGGUUAAGACAUGCAAGUCGAACGGGGUUUUUACUAGUAGCAAUACCUGUGAAAACCUAGUGGCAGACGGGUGCGUAACACGUGAACAAUCUACCUCUUAGUGGGGAAUAAUUCACCGAAAGGUGUACUAAUACCGCAUAUGGUGGCUUUUCGCAUGAAAAGCUUACCAAAGCUGGGGAUCGUAAGACCUGGCGCUAGGAGAGGAGUUCGCGGCCUAUCAGCUUGUUGGUGAGGUAACGGCUCACCAAGGCUAAGACGGGUAGCUGGUCUGAGAGGAUGAUCAGCCACACUGGAACUG